rnacentral:misc_RNA from 1 species
AAAUAUAGAAGGUCUUUAAGACCUCUCUAACAUUUUGUGAAUUGUUUAUUGUCUCUGGUGAGUGAAAGCUCACCAAUUUAAACUUUGUAUUAAAUUUUGUCUAUAAAUCAUCAUUUUAUUAAAUUAAAAACAACUUUUAACAACGGAUCUCUAGGCUCU